UCCCAUGUUACACAGUGCUCUACUGCUGAGCUAUACUUCCAGUCCAGUCCAGUCCAGCUCCUGCCUCUGCCUCUUAAGUGCUGGGAUUAAAGGCCCUUCUCGAAGCCACAAAAAUCUGGAACCUGGUGUCCUGGCCAUGUGCUGAAUGCACGCACAGCACAGCUCUGGAUGGCUCCUUUAAGAGCAGUGGAUCCACCCCCUGUAGAGGAGGGCCUAUUAGAGCCUCUGCCUGGCUGUCAGUGACUCAGUGUUCGCGGGAACGCUGCCUCAGCCUCAACACCAGCCAACCCAGAUCCCGAGGUGCGCCAGCGCCCAGCCCAGAUCUCCACGCCUGCCAGGAGCGAGCUUCGCCGGCUCGCUGUCCCCCUGAGCAGCCUCUGUCCUUCUGUCCAAGUCCCGCGCCCUUCUCGGGACCCCUGCCCAGCGGGCAGCACUGUCACCCUGCCGGCCAUGGAGACCCCGUCACAGCGGCGCGCCACCCGCAGUGGGGCGCAGGCCAGCUCUACCCCACUGUCGCCCACUCGGAUCACCCGGCUGCAGGAGAAGGAGGACCUGCAGGAGCUCAAUGACCGCCUGGCCGUGUACAUCGAUCGCGUGCGUUCCCUGGAGACCGAGAACGCGGGGCUGCGCCUUCGCAUCACUGAGUCUGAAGAGGUGGUCAGCCGAGAGGUGUCCGGCAUCAAGGCGGCCUACGAGGCCGAGCUGGGGGAUGCCCGCAAGACCCUUGAUUCUGUGGCCAAGGAGCGCGCCCGCCUCCAGCUAGAGCUGAGCAAAGUGCGUGAGGAGUUCAAGGAGCUGAAGGCUCGCAACACCAAGAAGGAGGGGGACUUGUUGGCUGCGCAGGCCCGGCUCAAGGACCUCGAGGCUCUUCUCAACUCCAAGGAAGCUGCCCUGAGCACUGCUCUCAGUGAGAAGCGCACAUUGGAGGGCGAGCUCCAUGACCUGCGGGGGCAGGUAGCCAAGCUUGAGGCGGCCCUGGGAGAGGCUAAGAAGCAGCUUCAGGAUGAGAUGCUGAGGCGAGUGGAUGCUGAGAACAGGCUACAGACGCUGAAGGAGGAGCUUGACUUCCAGAAGAACAUUUACAGCGAGGAACUGCGUGAGACCAAGCGCCGGCAUGAGACGCGGCUUGUGGAGAUCGAUAACGGGAAGCAGCGAGAGUUUGAGAGCCGGCUGGCAGAUGCCCUGCAGGAGCUGCGGGCUCAGCAUGAGGACCAGGUGGAACAGUAUAAGAAGGAGCUAGAAAAGACAUACUCCGCCAAGCUGGAUAAUGCCAGGCAGUCUGCUGAGAGGAACAGCAACCUCGUGGGGGCUGCCCAUGAGGAACUGCAGCAGUCUCGAAUCCGCAUUGACAGCCUCUCGGCCCAGCUCAGCCAGCUCCAAAAGCAGUUGGCAGCCAAGGAGGCAAAGCUGCGUGACCUGGAGGACUCGCUGGCCCGUGAGCGCGAUACCAGCCGGCGCCUGCUGGCUGAGAAAGAGCGAGAGAUGGCGGAGAUGCGGGCGAGGAUGCAGCAGCAGCUGGACGAGUACCAGGAGCUGCUGGACAUCAAGCUGGCCCUGGACAUGGAGAUCCAUGCCUAUCGAAAGCUGCUGGAGGGCGAGGAGGAGAGGCUGCGCCUGUCCCCCAGCCCUACCUCGCAGCGCAGCCGUGGCCGCGCCUCCUCCCACUCAUCCCAGUCUCAGGGUGGAGGCAGCGUCACCAAAAAGCGCAAGCUGGAGUCUUCCGAGAGCCGGAGCAGCUUCUCGCAGCAUGCUCGCACUAGCGGGCGUGUGGCGGUAGAGGAAGUCGAUGAAGAGGGAAAGUUCGUGCGGCUGCGCAACAAGUCCAACGAGGACCAGUCCAUGGGCAACUGGCAGAUCAGGCGUCAGAAUGGUGACGAUCCUUUGAUGACCUAUCGCUUCCCACCGAAGUUCACCCUAAAGGCUGGGCAGGUGGUGACGAUCUGGGCUUCAGGAGCUGGGGCCACCCAUAGCCCCCCUACUGACUUGGUGUGGAAGGCGCAGAACACCUGGGGCUGUGGGAGCAGCCUUCGCACCGCUCUCAUCAACUCCACUGGAGAAGAAGUGGCCAUGCGCAAGCUGGUGCGCUCACUGACCAUGGUUGAGGACAAUGAGGAUGACGACGAGGAUGGAGAAGAGCUCCUCCAUCACCACCGUGUGAGUGGCAGCCGCCGCUGAGGCCCAGCCCACAAGGGUAGCCCUGCCAGCCUAGGGCAGCUCUCCCACCUCCAUGCCAAAGUCUUUUCAUUAAAGAAUGUUUUGGAAUGCCACUUGCUGCCCUGGCCUUUCUUCUCUCUCCUCCCUCUACCUUGAACAGGGAACCCAGGUGUCUGGUAAGGAAGGGAGUGGGGACUUGCUGAUGCCAUGGAUACUCCACGGUGGCAGUGGACAGGGUUCUGGAUUUGUGUCCUGGGAAGGGGCUGGGAGGACAGAGGUGGCCCCAGCCCUGCCUCUCUUCCUCACUCCCAUUGCAUGCACACUUCUCUCCUCUCUCCUUCCACCCUAUUGCAUGCUUCUCCUCAGAUUUCCCUGCAACAAUGUUCUCUUUCCUUCCUGUCCCCUCACAAAUUAAGUCUCUCCAUCUUUGCUCUUCCUCUUGAUUGCCCCAUAAGUGUCUAAGAUUCAGGAGAGAGUUAAAGCCACAGCUCUUUAUUUCGAAGGCUUCCUGGCUAUUUCCCCCAUCAUGCCCUUCCUCCCAGCCACAGGUCUCCCAAGUCCCCAUCACUUGGUUGUCUGGGUACAGACAGAGGUCACCUUCCUGCCCAAUGGCCAGGAAGCUCCAAGAGCCCACAGCCUAGGUGCCGGUCCUAAGAAGUCAGUCCCAAACUCGCUGUCCCUCCUGAGCCUUGUCUCCCUUCCCAGGGUUCCCACUGCAGCGGCUCGGGGGACCCCGCUGAGUACAACCUGCGCUCACGCACCGUGCUGUGCGGGACGUGUGGGCAGCCUGCUGACAAGGCUGCCGGUGGAGCGGGAGCCCAGGUGGGCGGAUCCAUCUCCUCUGGCUCUUCUGCCUCCAGUGUCACAGUCACUCGAAGCUUCCGCAGUGUGGGGGGCAGUGGGGGUGGCAGCUUCGGGGACAACCUAGUCACCCGCUCCUACCUCCUGGGCAACUCCAGUCCCCGGAGCCAGAGCUCCCAGAACUGCAGCAUCAUGUAAUCUGGGACCUGCCAGGCAGGGCUGGGGGCAGAGGCCACCUGCUCCCCCCUCACCACAUGCCACCUCCUGUCUGCUCCUUAGGAGAGCAGGCCUGAAGCCAAAGAAAAAUUUAUCCCCUGCCUUUGGUUUUUUUUUUUUUUCUUCUAUUUUUUUUUUCUUUUUCUAAGAGAAGUUAUUUUCUACAGUGGUUUUAUACUGAAGGAAAAACUCAAGCAAAAAAAAAAAAAAUCUUUAUCUCAAUCCUAAGUCCUUCCCCUUUCUUUCCUUGUAUCUGCCUUAAAACCAAAGGGCUUCUCUAGGAGCCCAGGGAAAGGACUGCUUUUUAUAGAGUCUAGAUUUUUGUCCUGCUGCCUUGGCUUUACCCUCAUCCCAGGACCCUGUGACAAUGGUGCCUGAGAGGCAGGCAUGGAGUUCUCUUCACCAGCCUCCUCCAACAGCUGGCCCACUGCCACGCCAGCUGCAGAGAAAUGGGGCGCAGAGAGGAUGACUGAGAAGGUCAAGCCCCUCCCCGGCACUACACGAGGCCGAGGCUCCUCUGCCUGCCUUACCUUCUUCCUGCCCUUCCCUAGCCUGGGGCGAGUGGAUUCCCAGAGGCAAAUCUGCCGUGCUUGCUUUUUCUAUAUUUUAUUUAGACAAGAGAUGGGAAUGACGGGGAAGGAGAAGGGAAGAUCAGUUUGAGCCUACCUUUUCCCAGCUUCUGAGCCUGGUGGGCUCUGUCUCAAUGAUGGAGGGCAAUGUCAAGUGGGAUACAGGGAAGAGUGGGGGACGAAGGCUCCCAGAGAUGGGGAGAACCUGCUGGGGCUGGUGAGAAGUCUAGAGGUGCGGCGAUUGGUGGCUACAGCAAACACUAAGGAACCCUUCACCCCAUUUCCCAUCUGCACCUCUGCUCUCCCCUCCAAAUCAAUACACUAGUUGUUUCCAUCCCA